UUGAAGAGGAAGCGCCCGAAAGAUGAGACAGAGAUUGAAGUAGAAGCACAUUCCGCACUUCUCAACUGAUUCAGGUUCAGGAGUGUGUCGAGAAGGAUGAUUUAAGACAAUUUGGUGGUGAAAUUUCACAUUUGACGACUUUGAGAUAGUUUUUGUUCAGAUUAUACAUUUCUGGCCUUUUCCUUCAAGUUUUUGGGUUUAUUUGUUUUUUCCCUUGAGGUACUGUUUUAAUUUACUUUUAAUGUAUUUUUUGUUUUGAAAUUUUCAUGCAGGUUAGAGAAAGUAUCUUGAAGGUGAGUGGUUCCUUGCAAGAGAUUAUUGGAGUGUAAUUGGGGUACAAAAUCAAAAUCAGAAUACCAAAUUAUGUUUAUCGGUGAAUUACAGAGAAACACUUCCGUCAGUAUAAAAAAAUAAUUUCUGUCUGAGGUACCCUGAACCCUCUCCAUAUAUUGUUUGUUUGAAAUGGAAAAGGUUGAGCUUGGGACUACAACUCCUUCUUAGUUGGAACAAUGAAUUUAGAUGUACUUGUGAUGUCUCCUUCGAUACAAACAUUUGUUUUGGUUAUAUGUUCUCUAAAAGUAUUUAACUAUGAAUAGUUUUGAUAGACAAUGUAUUUAGGUAUUCUGCACAUAUUAUAGAUUAAAGUAUCUAUUGAGCACAUUGAUGGCUAAAUAAAUAGA